rnacentral:rRNA from 1 species
UACGACUACAUAUCAGGCAUAUCAAUAAGCGGAGGAAAAGAAACUAACAAGGAUUCCCUUAGUAACGGCGAGUGAAGCGGGAAGAGCUCAAAUUUGAAAUCUUCAAGGUUCUACCUUGACGAAUUGUAGUUUAAAGAAGUGUUUUCUGUUAGAUGAGUAGCAAAAGUUCCUUGGAAUGGGACAUCAUAGAGGGUGAGAAUCCCGUAUUUGACCGUUACUUCAUUCUAGCUGUGUGAUACACUUUCAAAGAGUCGGAUUGUUUGGGAGUGCAGUCCAAGAUGGGUGGUAAAUUUCAUCUAAAGCUAAAUAUUGGCGAGAGACCGAUAGCGAACAAGUACCGUGAGGGAAAGAUGAAAAGAACUUUGAAAAGAGAGUUAAACAGUACGUGAAAUUGUCAAAAGGGAAGCGUUUGACACCAGUGUUGUUUAGUUGAAAAUCAAUUCAAUAGUUUUUGAUUCUAAGUAGUAUUGACUUCAUCAGCUUGCUGCUUUCUUCUCAGAAAUUAUUGAAUGCACUUUUCAGUUAACAAGUCAACAUCAAUUUCUUUUGUUGUAAAAGGGUAAGAGGAAGGUGGCUUGCGCUUCGGCUCAAGUGUUUAUAGCCUUUUAUCUCUGCAAUCGGAGAGAUUGAGGUCUGCAGCGUAGAUCCUUCGGGGUUAGAUACAUUGGUGCUAAGCUAUAGCCUUGUAUAGACAACUUGUUGACUAUGCUCAGUCAUGUAGCUUACUCGCUGAUGCUAUUUUACCUACGCUUAGGAUGUUGAGUAGCGACAUACGCAC